AAGCCCUCGGCAGACUGCUCAGUAACACGUGGUGAACCUGCCCUAAGGUGGAGGAUAAUCUCGGGAAACUGAGGAUAAUACUCCAUAGGCCACCUAUGCUGGAAUGCUUGGUGGCCCAAAUCUCCGGAGCCUUAGGAUGGCACUGCGACCUAUCAGGUCGUAGGGAGGGUAACGGCCUCCCUAGCCUACGACGGGUACGGGCGUUGAGAGACGUCGCCCGGAGAUGAACUCUGAGACACGAGUUCAGGC
rnacentral:rRNA from 1 species